rnacentral:rRNA from 1 species
AGUGAACGCUGGCGGCGUGCUUAACACAUGCAAGUCGAACGAGAACGGUCCUUCGGGAUGUCAGCUAAGUGGCGGACGGGUGAGUAAUGUAUAGUUAAUUUGCCUCUUGGAGGGGGAUAACAGUUGGAAACGACUGCUAAUACCCCAUACUCCUUUCUACUUAAUGUAGAUUGGGAAAUGUUUUUUCGCCAAGAGAUAAGACUAUAUGGUAUCAGGUAGUUGGUAGGGUAAGAGCCUACCAAGCCUAUGACGCCUAGCUGGUCUGAGAGGAUGAUCAGCCACACUGGAACUGAGACACGGUCCAGACUCCUACGGGAGGCAGCAGUGGGGAAUAUUGCACAAUGGAGGAAACUCUGAUGCAGCAACGCCGCGUGGAGGAUGACACAUUUCGGUGCGUAAACUCCUUUUAUAUGGGAAGAUAAUGACGGUACCAUAUGAAUAAGCACCGCUAACU